rnacentral:lncRNA from 1 species
AAUAACAUAUUAAUAAAAAGGAGAAUAAAAAAAAAACAGCACUGCCUCUUCCCUAGCCCAUGAAACCAAACAUAAUUGCUGACACAAAGAAAGACCCCACCAAAAGGCCAAUGCCACUGGAAACAGUUACAGCUCCACUAGGCUUUGGUGGUGAAGUGGUGUUGGUGGAUCCUGACUCAGAGGGAGGAGAAGGAGAAGGGUUUGAUGGGGUGGUUGGUGGGGUGCCACUUGGGGUUGUUGGGGGGGUCCCACUAGCAGCAGCCACAUUAAUUUGCAGCUUCAUGCCUCCAGCACAGUGGCCUGAAAUGGGGCACAAGAAGUACCUUUUGCCUGGUGAAGUCAAUUCAAUCUUGGAGUUUCCAUCUUGGUAGUUCUUGAUGCUGUUGCUUGAGCUGCAGCUGUUGU